rnacentral:rRNA from 1 species
UCAGGCCUAACACAUGCAAGUCGAACGGCAGCACGGACUUCGGUCUGGUGGCGAGUGGCGAACGGGUGAGUAAUGCAUCGGAACGUGCCCAAUCGUGGGGGAUAACGUAGCGAAAGUUACGCUAAUACCGCAUACGAUCUAAGGAUGAAAGCGGGGGAUCGCAAGACCUCGCGCGAUUGGAGCGGCCGAUAUCAGAUUAGGUAGUUGGUGGGGUAAAGGCCCACCAAGCCAACGAUCUGUAGCUGGUCUGAGAGGACGAUCAGCCACACUGGGCCUGAGACACGGCCCAGACUCCUACGGGAGGCAGCAGUGGGGAAUUUUGGACAAUGGGCG